CCCCUAGAUGUUCUGGGCCGCACGCGCGCUACACUGAACAGUUCAACAAGUCUUAACCUUGGCCGAUAGGUCUGGGUAAUCUUUGAACGCUGUUCGUGAUUGGGAUAGACCUUUGCAAUUAUGGGUCUUCAACGAGGAAUUCCUAGUAAACGCAAGUCAUCAGCUUGCAUUGAUUACGUCCCUGCCCUUUGUACACACCGCCCGUCGCACCUACCGAUUGAAUGGUCCGGUGAAAUCUCGGGACGGCGGCUUGGUCGCUUGCGUCCGACUGCUGAAACUUGAUUAAACCAUAUCAUUUAGAGGAAGGCGAAGUCGUANCA
rnacentral:rRNA from 1 species